rnacentral:rRNA from 1 species
GACAGAGGGUGCAAACGUUGUUCGGAAUUACUGGGCGUAAAGCGCAUGUAGGCGGCCAAGCAGGUCGGAUGUGAAAUCCCUCGGCUCAACCAAGGAAGUGCAUUCGAAACCGCAUGGCUCGAGUCCCGGAGAGGAAGGUGGAAUUCUCGGUGUAGCGGUGAAAUGCGUAGAUAUCGGAAGGAACAUCAGUGGCGAAAGCGGCUUCCUGGUCCAGCACCGACGUUCAGGCACGAAAGCGUGGGGAGCAAACAGG